CCCUUAGAUGUCCUGGGCCGCACGCGCGUUACACUGAUGCAUUCAACGAGCUUAUAACCUUGGCCGAGAGGCCUGGGCAAUCUUGUUAACGUGCAUCGUGAUAGGGAUAGAUUAUUGAAAUUAUUAAUCUUGAACGAGGAAUUCCUAGUAAACGCAGAUCAUCAAUCUGCAUUGAUUACGUCCCUGCCCUUUGUACACACCGCCCGUCGGACCUACCGAUUGGAUGGUCCGGUGAAGCCUCGGGAUUGUGGUUCUUGCCGCUUUAUUGUGGCGUGACCGCGAGAACUUGUCUAAACCUUAUCAUCUAGAGGAAGGUGAAGUCGUAACA
rnacentral:rRNA from 1 species